CGUCAUCAUCCAGCACCUCCUCCAUUGCUUUCUCCAGCUGCUCACUACCGUUCCAAGACAUCUGGUGGAGGAAGGACCAUGAAUAUUCAAAGCCUUGAGGUGAGCCAGUGGCACCAGGCUGUACCAGAACAAACUCCUCGCUGGUGACGGUGGCCACUGACUCUGUGGAACUGCUGACUUUCCGCAGAGAGGAGCUGUCAUCCAUGGCUGACUCUUCUCAGGAAGUGCAGGGGAGACCAGAGUUGAAUCUCUCCCCUUUCCUCCCCACUUCAGCCACUUCUGGAUAAAAAAAAAAAAAAAAAACAAGCUUGUGUUACAACUUAAAAGAAACAUUUGGACUUUUAAAACUUCUUCUAUACAUGAAAAUGUUUGUUCCUUCUAUUCAGACAUGCACACAAAGGCAUGGACAGCAACCACGUCAUGUGCUCCAAUCAUACUUAUUGAAUUAUAGCAAGUAGCAUGAACAAUCGAAGCAAAUAAAGGCUCACUGCCACAGAGAAUCAAACCAAUAGCGCAAAUGUUGGAAAAAUGUGCAUAACUGCCUCUUCCAGCACUUACUACAAUACACAAAUACGUCCCAUUUGACAUAUAUCCUGCACGUCAUGCAAUGGCUGCAUUUCUUGUUACUAUUGUAUGUGUAAUGCAUAUUAAUAAUCAAUAAUAAACUGAAGUGAACUCAACUUGCUGGUAGAAAAGUGCCGAAAUUAGCACCCGGUUAUUACAAACCUCGUUGCUCAUGAUUUAAAGCUAGGCAACACCAAAAUAAACUGAAGUAAUAUGUUACAUUGCAUCAGGGAGGGAGAAUGUGUCUGCGGGUUUGUGAGGCAGUGACAAUCCCAACACUGACGUUCCUACACAUGAUGGAGAAAUUCAUCCAUGCAUCAACAUUUUCUUUAUUUAUUACAAAUUAAUUAUAAUUCAACCCAUCUUGUUUUAGGUAGCAUCCCUAUUGUUUACUGUCGAUAAAUGACUACCAACAUACAGUAAAUGGAAAAGGCUGUUGUGGCAACCUGUAUUGUGCACUGAUCCAAAAGCCCAAGCAGAUAUUGACAUUGCAGGUGAGCAAAUAACAGCACAAUGUGCACCUCACUUUCAAAUCAGUGACACAAAGAAGAAUCUAGACAAAGUGCACUCAAAAUACAACUCUAAACCAUUUCUCUUUAUAGAAGUCAGGAAAAGUAUGUGUCCAAAAAAUGUUUUCAACCUUUAUAAGUGUGACCAAGUAUUGUCAACAGCACAGACAAACUUCCCUUAGCAUCAUCAGCAGCAGCAGCAGCAUUUGAAGAUGCAAUCUAAGUGGGAAAUAAAGUGCACUCAGCACAGGUCAAUCAGGAACAGGCUUCUCGAGUUUAACAAUCCAGCCAAUGCAACAUUAGCCAGGGUGAAGCUACCCUCUCUAAUCCUUCUCCUCUCCGCGAGAGUGCCAGAUGUAAAAGCGUUUAACAGCUGCAGAGCUGCAGAUGUGCACCAGGAUGUGAGCACAGGUAAGUGCAAACUAAUCAGGAAGUUGCAACCAGUGCCAGGUUACUAAAUGCUAGCUUUCAUCGAAGCUAACGUUCUGCU